rnacentral:rRNA from 1 species
UGGGCAACCUGCCCCUCUCUCUGGGAUAACCCCGGGAAACCGGAGCUAAUACCGGAUACUCCGGUCGAACCGCAUGGCUCGAUCGGGAAAGCUCCGACGGUCUGGGAUGGGCCCGCGGCCUAUCAGCUUGUUGGUGGGGUAACGGCCUACCAAGGCGACGACGGGUAGCUGGUCUGAGAGGACGACCAGCCACACUGGAACUGAGAUACGGUCCAGACUCCUACGGGAG